UUCCUCAUUCCACGCACGUUUCACGUGACCAAUUCCCUCUUUCUUCUCCUCAUUCUCGCACCUCCCCGACGUUUUCUUCCAUUUCUGCACUUGUUCUUCCUCUCUCCUCUUUUUGCGAUCUCAUCUUUUCUCUCUCCUCUUCUGCGGCUGCAAUCAGAUCUUCUUCCCCAUAUGAAGCCUAAUUUCACAAGCAAGAGAUCUAUUGUAUGUUUUUCUGAAAUCGAGUGGAAAAUCAUGUCAAACUUGGAUCAACAAAGCAGGGUUUCGGAUUUUUUGCAGAGAAGUGUGUAAUCCUGGUGAUGAACAAAGACUGACCAUCCGAUCCCCUUGAUUUCUUCAUCUUCGUUUGAGGUAUUGAUUGAAUUUUACUGCUUACUUUUAAAGGAUUGUUUGUGUUGCAAGAUUGUAUUUUGUGAUGAUUUCUGUCAAAGUUAGAUGCUCUGUGUAAUUGGUUGCUGUGUAGUUUCUUUCUGCUGCCUGGUUGUUAUUUUUUGAUUGUAUGUUUUGUUUGUGGUGUAAAUAAACAAGCUGUAUUUGGUUUUUGGAUGUGUGUUGGGUUGAAAUUGAUGGAAUUUGGGUUUUAAAUUCGAGUAUUUACAGGCUCAAGUGAGGUUUUUAACCCCCAAAGAGUGAGAGUAGUUUGUUUCAUCUUGAUCUUCUGCCCCUCCUCAGUUCGUCUCUCUCCUCUCUGUUUCACUCGCCUCUUCUCUCUUUCUCUCUCCUCGCCUAACCCCAUUUUGUAGGUUUAAUUCGUUCUUGGACAUCUGAAAAAGAAAGUACUUUAAAGCUCCGUGUGAAUUGGCUUUAUUGACCCGCUGAAGUUAAACUUCUGGAACGCGCUGCACUUGAAGCUGCGCCGAACGAAGUUUCCUACUCAUUCUACAGUGAUGAGAUUCCUGUUGCAUCACUACUUCACCCGUGUAAAGUUGCAUUUUUGUCUAAAGGUGUUGAACUCCCCCCAGGGAUUUCUUUGUUUGUUUGUCAGCGAGUUUAUGACAUUACAAACAAGUGUCUGUGGUGCCUGGCAGAUCAGGAUUACAUUGAUCUUGUUGUGGAAAAUUUCGCCAGGACCGGCAGGAAGAAGUAGAUCAACUGUUGCAUAGAACACGUAUAGAAAUGCAUGGAUCGGUGGAACAGCAACAAGAUCCCCGUUCUCCAAAACCAGUGAAUGGUUCAGUAGCAACAUCACCAUUGAAACAUAGUCCGGACAGCGUGCAGAAUAGCAGCUCUAACCUUUCUUCUCAUAGGAAGGGAAAAAAGAGAGAAUGAAGUGAUCAGUCUUUUGACGCCGUUAAACGAGAACAAUCGACGAGACCUUAUGAUGGGCACUCUUACGUAUGCUGACAUCUGCAUUUCUUCUUGCCAGGGUUGUGUGUAAGUGUGGUAAUUGUGGGACAAGAAAGCAGUCAUUAAGUGAAUGGGAAAAGCACACAGGCUCUAGAGCUAAGAAAUGGAAGUAUAGCGUGAAGGUCAAAGGCUCCAUGAUCACCUUGCAUCAAUGGGGUUAUAGGGCUCAUCAUUCCAAGAAGCAGGCAGUGUAUUGGCUUCCUCACAUAUGGACCAUUCGUUUGUCGUGUUGCCAAAGCAAAAGUCUCAUACACCUGGUGCUUCUCCUCUUCCCCGAGGCGUUGGGGUUCAGCAGGAAACGUCUCCGUCUGAUGAUGGAUGAGUCGUUCGUGCUUGCUAAAAUUGGGUAGAAUUGAAAUUGGUGAGAUGGGGAGGUUGUUUGUGGUGCAUUUGGAAGGGAAGAGCUAUAGUUGCAAGCACUGUAGGACUCAUCUUGCUGUCAGUGAAGAUAUUGUUUCUAAGUUACAAAUGAUUCAUCUGUGGAACAAUCUGUGUUUAAGUGAAUAUACAGAUGUGGAAGUUAUUUUGGCUGGUUUGGCUUCUCUGUAUGAUGAAAUUCAGUGGUUCAAGAAAGAAGCGGCAAAGUGGGAUGUCCAGCUCAAUGUCGUCACUCCUCAAAAGACAAACCAGAACUACUGCAGGUUUAUAGAAAACCUGAUGUAACCAGAAGUAAAUUACACAGUGGCAAUCACGCCUUUUGGGCAAUUGAGGCUGUUUUAUCAGCUCAGCUUUGCCCACUGCCUUAAAGAUGAUGCCAGAACUCCUCCAGAAUUGCGAGUAGCUUGUGAGAGUUGGGGUAAUGAAGGAUUUGGCAAGUAUUGUGACUCCCUCCGUAUGAUUGCUAACCAUUGUUUAUCGAAGGCAUUGGAGGGUGUACAAGUCAAAGCUGAGGUGAUGCUUUUGCAAUUUUUUGAGCUAGAAGUUGAGUUUUGGAACAUGAGUGAAGGACGAAACAAUUAGGAGAAAAAAAAUUCUUGUUUUUGUAUGCUUGAGAUUGUUGUAGACUUGUAGUAAAAAACUGACUGUACUUAGACUUACUAAGUUGUUCAAGUUGGAAGAAAGGUUUGUUUUUCAUCUGAGUCAAAUAUGUUACUUUCACAUGGGAGAAUCGGUUCAAUUACACCGAUUCAAGUGUAUCCAUAACUAAAUACUCUAGCGAUCUGUUUGGCAGACAAUCAUGAAUGGCAAAAAAGAGUUAUAAAUUUA